rnacentral:rRNA from 1 species
GACGAACGCUGGCGGCGUGCUUAACACAUGCAAGUCGAGCGGUAAGGCCCUUCGGGGUACACGAGCGGCGAACGGGUGAGUAACACGUGGGUGACCUGCCCCCUACUCUGGGAUAAGCCUGGGAAACUGGGUCUAAUACCGGAUAUGACCGCAUGUUGCAUGGUGUGUGGUGGAAAGCCAGUUACAUUUGUUUCUGGCGGUGGGGGAUGGGCCCGCGGCCUAUCAGCUUGUUGGUGGGGUGAUGGCCUACCAAGGCGACGACGGGUAGCCGGCCUGAGAGGGCGACCGGCCACACUGGGACUGAGACACGGCCCAGACUCCUACGGGAGGCAGCAGUGGGGAAUAUUGCGCAAUGGGCGGAAGCCUGACGCAGCGACGCCGCGUGGGGGAUGACGGCCUUCGGGUUGUAAACCUCUUUCGGCCCCGACGAAGCGGAUAGUGACGGUAGGGGUGGAAGAAGCACCGGCCAACUACGUGCCAGCAGCCGC